GGGCGCUCUUAUCCGCACACAGGCUCACUGUGAAUAGUGCGUGACGUGUGAACUUUACGUAAACGAAACACGGUACGGUAUGUAAACACUAAUAAAUACAUAGUCGGUGGAGGUUCGCGGAGCGUUUGGUGGGAUUUAAAGGUGAUACGAGGAACUCAAUGUAUUGCCACAUUUCUUCAGGUGUACUGCUUUCAUGGCCCACGGUACCUCAUCUCCUUUGUUUUGGUCGCUUGUCGUCGCCGCCUCGAGCAUUUCGAGGUUAUUGUCGCCACUCCUUCAAAGAUUGAGGUUUCAGUUGCAGAACAUUCUCUGGGUGUUUAAAGAAUGUGAAGCCCUUCCCCUGUCUGUUCUCAUCCAAAGUGUCAACAAGAAUGAUCAUUGUAUGCUCAGUAAUGUUGCCGAAAUGGAGACUGCACUUAUCUGUUGAGGGGCCCCUUAUCCAUCUUCUUCUCCUGAACGGUUUACGAACUAAGUUUGUGAAAUUCCCCUUGUUGGCUGGUUCUGUCUUCACACGUUACGAGACUUGUGUUUAGCUGAGCAGCAGUGAAGUAAAAACCAAAGACUCAAGAGUGAUAAAUAUGAUGAUAGCUAGAAAGACCAUGUGAAAUAUGGUAUGCAGUGUAAAGAAGAACCAACACAUAUCUGCUCAAGGUCUUCCUGUGGUCCACCAUGCAUGUUGAGGGUGUGUUGAACUUAUGUGGAUAGUAAUAGUUUAGGCCGAGUUUCAGCUCCUAUCUUUGUUCCUAGCUCUGCCAUACCUACAAGAUAGUACUUGUGUGAUAUUUGAUACGAUAGUAACUGAAGUGACAGUGUGUGUGCAGUAAUCUCUGUAUCAUAGCAACCAUGAUUGACUUCAUAUAAAUUUCUUUCUGUAGUGAGAUUUGCAAUUGUUUUUCUUGUGCCUGUCAUUUAUUAAUUUGUGAAGCUAAAAGUUUUCCAAUUCUAACAAUCUGUUAAAGCUUCAUGAAAUUUUUUGAAUAUCAGCAGUUUUUAUUUGAAAAAUUUUCAUUAGAAAGUAUUUGUUGCACAAAUAGAUCUGUAGCUCUUUAAAGAAGUAGUAUGACUGUCACUGUUAGUGUACAUGGAAUGGAGACCAUCGCUAACUGUGAGAGGCAACUUGGACCAUAUCAGUAUUACCGAGUUAUUUAUAGCCCAGUUGUCGGUCUGACGUGGGCGAAAUAAAAAAUGAAUCUUGUCACGGGUGUUAUUGUGAAUCAAGGGCACUGUAAAUAGCAUGCUUCCAAGCAUAAAUAUGUUUCUCUUAGUGCAUAUACUAUUGUUGAUAUCCACCCUUAUUGUGUAAGGCCAUACUUAGACCAUGCCUAUGGACGUUGUCAUCUAUUAUCCUAGCAGCCUUUUGACUUUGAGUUGUACCUCCAAUACAGCUUAUUUUCUCAAUGAAAUAUCACAGACUUACUUUACGAAUCAAAUUGUAGUGCGCCAAUGCCACAUUGGUACCGUAUCAUGUUUGUUUUUGAAACACGCACUGUUGAGAGUUCUGUAGUGUUCCAUGUAAAGUGGAAUCCAAACAAUGUUUGUGAUUAUCUCAUGCUACCUUGUUUAUUUUAAAACAGGGUCCUCUCCUGUAGGCAGCUUUUGUGUGUGGCUUAGUCUGAUUCUAUUGUCAGAAUCGGUUGUUGACCCUAUUUGUAUUAGUAAGUCCUGUGUGUGAAAAGAGAUAGAAAUAUUGCUCAGUGGCUAUCGAGGUGUCUUUCUUCUUUUCGUGUGAUAUUUUUUUCUGCUGCUUUUAUGCAACCCAUUGUAUUUCCCGAUAGGAUCACUGAUGUUGGCUUCUACUGUGUGUGAAAAAAAGUGAUUAGGUUGUCAUUGUAGUACUGGUUUUUGCCUCUAAUGUGUAGGACAAUUUUUCUGUUUUAUUUGUGGUAGUUGAUCACUUUUAUUCGUUUGUCAUGAUAUUAGUAAGUCAAUGUUAUGGCCCACUGCACUCUGUCUGCCGAAAUACUUAUCUGGUAAUCCAAUAUUGGAAUCGUUGUAAGCUAUGAAACAUAAAUUUUCUUGUGACAGGUUUUGAUUUUAUAAAUUAUACAUUAGCCUUUUAGUUUGGUGUUCAAAUUCAAUCAUUGUUAUUGGAAAUCAAGGUCAAACUCUGUGGCCUGUGUUAAAGCACAUGUAUGUUUCUCUUUGUUUGAAUUUAAUACCUGUUCUCACGUUGCUGAUGGAGACGAUUCAGGCUUUGUGUAUAUGUGUUGCUUGUAUCAGUUGUAGUUCCAUUAUCACUAUGAACUGUGGCUCCAAUACUAUUUAUUUCUCAUUGUCACAUUGUGGACUUACUUUAUUACUGAAAUAGGAUGGCUCUAAAUGUUAAUUUGUGUUUUUUCAAUCACUUUGAAAAUAUCACUGUUUUACAGUUCUGUGGAUUUCUUUGUAAAGUGGAGCACCGUAAUUUUGUUAUGCUGCUUUAAUACAACCCAGUGCAUUUCUCAUUAAGGAUAAUUUUUGUUGGCUUCCACCGUGUGUGAAAAAAUGAGAUUCGGUUGUCAUUUUAGUACUGGGUUCUGCCUCUGAAGUGUGGGACAAUAUUUCUGUUUUAUUUGUGGUAGUUGAUCACUUUUAUUCGUUUGUCAUGAUAUUAAUAAGUCAGUGCCUUGGCUUACUGCACUCUUCCUGCUGAAAUACUUUUCUGGUAUUCCAAUAUUGGAAUCGUUGUAAUCCAUGGAAAAAUAAAUCUUCUUGUCACGGA